AGAGUUUGAUCAUGGCUCAGGACGAACGCUGGCGGCGUGCUUAACACAUGCAAGUCGAACGGAAAGGCCCUUCGGGGUACUCGAGUGGCGAACGGGUGAGUAACACGUGGGUGAUCUGCCCUGCACUUUGGGAUAAGCCUGGGAAACUGGGUCUAAUACCGAAUAGGACCACGCGCUUCAUGGUGUGUGGUGGAAAGCUUUUGCGGUGUGGGAUGGGCCCGCGGCCUAUCAGCUUGUUGGUGGGGUAAUGGCCUACCAAGGCGACGACGGGUAGCCGGCCUGAGAGGGUGACCGGCCACACUGGGACUGAGAUACGGCCCAGACUCCUACGGGAGGCAGCAGUGGGGAAUAUUGCACAAUGGGCGCAAGCCUGAUGCAGCGACGCCGCGUGAGGGAUGACGGCCUUCGGGUUGUAAACCUCUUUCAAUAGGGACGAAGCGCAAGUGACGGUACCUAUAGAAGAAGCACCGGCCAACUACGUGCCAGCAGCCGCGGUAAUACGUAGGGUGCGAGCGUUGUCCGGAAUUACUGGGCGUAAAGAGCUCGUAGGUGGUUUGUCGCGUUGUUCGUGAAAACUCACAGCUUAACUGUGGGCGUGCGGGCGAUACGGGCAGACUAGAGUACUGCAGGGGAGACUGGAAUUCCUGGUGUAGCGGUGGAAUGCGCAGAUAUCAGGAGGAACACCGGUGGCGAAGGCGGGUCUCUGGGCAGUAACUGACGCUGAGGAGCGGAAGCGUGGGGAGCGAACAGGAUUAGAUACCCUGGUAGUCCAA
rnacentral:rRNA from 1 species